AUUAGAAAAAAUAAUUUUAAUUUAAAAUUAGAACUCUUAUUCCCUUUGUUCCAAUCUAAUCAUCCAAACACUAUUUACCUUAUUCUUUAGAACAAUCCAAUUUUUAUCCAAACGUAAAAUUAGUCUAAUUCUUGUUUAUAUCUGAACCUGUACCCAUUCCUGAAAUAAGCAGUUCUUAUUUAUACCUGAACCAAACGCUGCUUAAGAGAUAUUUAAGCUUAGGUGAGAAAAAUCAUUAAAAUGGAUUGAUCUCCCAUUUGUUUAAAGCAUCCAUUAUUUCUAUGUGAAAAAUAUCUUGUCUAAGCAUCCAUUGUUUCUUGACUAAAAGUAGACUAAACUUGGGUUUUUUUUUUUUUUUUUUUUUUUUUUUUUUUUUUUUUUUUGAGAGAGAUAGGUAGCAUGCUACCUGUUUCAUUUAUUUCAUUUACAAAUAGGCUUAGCUAGAAAUAUAAAUCAAGAUUCGAACUUAAGACCUCGGGUGUCCACCACCAAGUCUUUUGCUACUUGCGCUAGGGACAGUUGGUUAGAUUAAACUUGUUUAAUUUGCAUGAGAUGGGAUUUGAGAAGUUAUAAGGAUUUAC
rnacentral:lncRNA from 1 species